rnacentral:rRNA from 1 species
UGCAGGACACAUUGAUCAUCGACACUUCGAACGCACUUGCGGCCCCGGGUUCCUCCCGGGGCUACGCCUGUCUGAGCGUCG